UACGUAGGGGGCGAGCGUUGUCCGGAAUUAUUGGGCGUAAAGAGCGUGUAGGCGGUUCGGUAAGUCUGCCGUGAAAACCCAGGGCUCAACCCUGGGCGUGCGGUGGAUACUGCCGGGCUAGAGGGUGGUAGAGGCGAGUGGAAUUCCCGGUGUAGCGGUGAAAUGCGCAGAUAUCGGGAAGAACACCCGUGGCGAAGGCGGUUCUCUGGGACGGUACUGACGCUGAGACGCGAAAGCGUGGGGAGCGAACAGG
rnacentral:rRNA from 1 species